AAUGCAGAAAUUGUGUGUAUAUGCUUUGUGCUAUUAAUAAUGCACUUUGCUCGAAAGUGUUCUCUGCUAAAUUAAUAUCAUUGGGGGAAGAUGAGCAAUUGUGUUUCAUCUAUUUCACUGGAACUUUUCAAUAAUUAUUUUACCCAUAUCU
rfam:Capsicum annuum cultivar Zunla-1 chromosome 3, whole genome shotgun sequence